rnacentral:rRNA from 1 species
AGUUGAAGUGUGGGUGAUCGCUGUUGUGAGACUUCGGUCUCUCGACAGUAAGUCACCCCCUUCCAGUAUCCAAUAGUGGGUAUUCAGUUACUUCCUAUUGUGUGUUGGUCAUUUACUGUGAGAAAAUUAGAGUGUUCAAAGCAGGCGUUUGCUUGAAUAGAUUAGCAUGGAAUAAUAAUUGAAGGCUUUCGUGUUCGAUUUGAUUGGUUUGUUCAUGGAAGCAAGGUUAAAAGGAACAGUUGGGGGUAUUCAUAUUCACUAGUUAGAGGUGAAAUUCUCGGAUUUAUGGAAGAUGAACAAGUGCGAAA